GGCUCAGGAUGAACGCUGGCGGCGUGCCUAACACAUGCAAGUCGAACGGAGUUCUUAAGGAAUGCGGCUUCGGCUAAAUGACUUUUGAACUUAGUGGCGGACGGGUGAGUAACGCGUGAGCAACCUGCCUUUCAGAGGGGGAUAACAUUUGGAAACAGAUGCUAAUACCGCAUAAGAUUACAGUACCGCAUGAUACAGUGAUCAAAGGAGCAAUCCGCUGAAAGAUGGGCUCGCGUCCGAUUAGAUAGUUGGUGAGGUAACGGCUCACCAAGUCGACGAUCGGUAGCCGGACUGAGAGGUUGAACGGCCACAUUGGGACUGAGACACGGCCCAGACUCCUACGGGAGGCAGCAGUGGGGAAUAUUGCACAAUGGGCGAAAGCCUGAUGCAGCAACGCCGCGUGAGGGAAGACGGUUUUCGGAUUGUAAACCUCUGUUUUCGGUGACGAACAAAUGACGGUAACCGAGUAGGAAGCCACGGCUAACUACGUG
rnacentral:rRNA from 1 species